rnacentral:rRNA from 1 species
UACGGAGGGGGCUAGCGUUGUUCGGAAUUACUGGGCGUAAAGCGCGCGUAGGCGGACCUGCAAGUCGGGGGUGAAAGCCCGAGGCUCAACCUCGGAACUGCCUUCGAUACUGCCGGACUAGAGUUCGGAAGAGGCGAGUGGAAUUCCCGGUGUAGCGGUGAAAUGCGCAGAUAUCGGGAGGAACACCAAUGGCGAAGGCAGCUCGCUGGGACGUUACUGACGCUGAGACGCGAAAGCGUGGGGAGCAAACAGG